CCCAUCACUUGGGGAGUAACCUUGCGAAAGUAAGACUAAUACCCAAUGACGUCUCUAGAAGACAUCUGAAAGAGAUUAAAGGUAUCCGGUAGACGAUGGGGAUGCGUUCCAUUAGAUAGUAGGCGGGGUAACGGCCCACCAAGGCGACGAUCAGUAGGGGUUCGUGAGAGGAAGGUCCCCCACCAUUGGAACUGAGACACGGUCCAAACUCCUACGGGAGGCAGCAGUGAGGAAUAUUGGUCAAUGGACGAGAGUCUGAACCAGCCAAGUAGCGUGCAGGAUGACGGCCCUAUGGGUUGUAAACUGCUUUUAUAAGGGAAUAAAGUGGGAGUCGUGACUCUUUUUGCAUGUACCUUAUGAAUAAGGACCGGCUAAUUCCGUG
rnacentral:rRNA from 1 species